CAGCCAUCAGGGACCACACACCAUAUAAGUAUGAAGACAUGUCUCUCACGUUUUUCUCAGACUUGUCAGGGAGCACCCUUGCCUGGCGGAGAUCACUCAAGCCAUUUACCUCUCUACCGAGGAAGCAGAAGAUACUAUACCAGUGGCGACUAACUAAUGGUCCAGAAGGGUGAGACCAAGCACCUGAUCCACAACCUCUCGGAAGCAGCAGCCUUACUGCCCAUACUCAACCUGCCUCCAGAUGCCCUGACACCAACCGGGGAGGGGACGGCAGACCGGAC